rnacentral:rRNA from 1 species
CAUGCAAGUCGAACGGUAGUUUGCCCUUCGGGGCGAGUGAGAGUGGCGAACGGGUGAGUAACGCGUAACUGAUCUGCCCCAUAGACUGGGAUAACCUUUGGAAACAGAGGCUAAUACGGGAUGAACUUGGUAGAGUUAGGUUUCUACUGAGGAAAGGCUUUAAGAGCGCUGUGGGAUGAGGUUGCGGUCCAUCAGCUAGUUGGUGAGGUAAAGGCUCACCAAGGCGAUGACGGGUAGGGGAUCUGAGAGGGUGGCCCCCCACACUGGGACUGAGACACGGCCCAGACUCCUACGGGAGGCAGCAGUAAGGGAUAUUGCACAAUGGGCGAAAGCCUGAUGCAGCGACGCCGCGUGGGCGAAGAAGGUUUUCGGAUCGUAAAGUCCUUUUCUAUGUGACGAGGUAGGACGGUAGCAUAGGAAUAAGUGUCGGCUAACUACGUGCCAGCAGCCGCGGUAAAACGUAGGACGCGAACGUUAUCCGGAGUUACUGGGCGUAAAGCGCGCGCAGGCGGUGUCAUAAGUCACCCAUGAAAGGUACAGGCUAAACUUGUAUUAGUUGGGUGGGACUGUGGUACUAGAGAGAAAUAGAGGGAAGCGGAAUUCCGGGUGUAGUGGUGAAAUGCGUAGAUAUCCGGAGGAAUACCGGUGGCGAAGGCGGCUUCCUGGAUUUCAACUGACG